rnacentral:rRNA from 1 species
GAUGAACGCUGGCGGCGUGCCUAAUACAUGCAAGUCGAGCGAACAGACGAGGAGCUUGCUCCUCUGACGUUAGCGGCGGACGGGUGAGUAACACGUGGAUACCCUACCUAUAAGACUGGGAUCACUUCGGGAAACCGGAGCUAAUCCCGGAUAAUAUAUUGAACCGCAUGGUUCAAUAGUGAAAUACGGUUUUGCUGUCACUUAUAGAUGGAUCCGCGCCGCAUUAGCUAGUUGGUAAGGUAACGGCUUACCAAGGCAACGAUGCGUAGCCGACCUGAGAGGGUGAUCGGCGACACUGGAACUGAGACGCGGUCCAGACUCCUACGGGAGGCAGCAGUAGGGAAUCUGCCGCAAUGGGCGAAAGCUUGACGGAGCAACGCCGCGUGAGUGAUGAAGGUCUUCGGAUCGUAAAACUCUGUUAUUAGGGAAGAACAAAUGUGUAAGUAACUAUGCACGUCUUGACGGUACCUAAUCAGAAAGCCACGGCUAACUACGUG